rnacentral:rRNA from 1 species
UACGUAGGGACCGAGCGUUGUCCGGAAUCAUUGGGCGUAAAGAGCGUGUAGGCGGCCACUUAAGUCCUGCGUGAAAUCUUGCGGCUCAACCGCAAGCGGUCGUGGGAAACUGGGUGGCUAGAGUGCGGGAGAGGAGAGUGGAAUUCCUGGUGUAGCGGUGGAAUGCGCAGAUAUCAGGAAGAACACCCGUGGCGAAGGCGGCUCUCUGGGCCUUACCUGACGCUGAGGAGCGAAAGCGUGGGUAGCGAACAGG